UUAUGUGAUCGUCUCUCGCAUAUCAAUAAGCGGAGGAAAAGAAACUAACAAGGAUUCCCCUAGUAACGGCGAGUGAAGCGGGAAGAGCUCAAAUUUGAAAUCUUAAAGGGUUUCCCUUUACGAAUUGUAGUUUAAAGAAGUGUUUUCUGUUGAGGUUUUGGUAAAAGUUCUUUGGAAUAGGACAUCAUAGAGGGUGAGAAUCCCGUAUUUGACCUUUACUUUCAACUUUGUGAUACACUUUCAAAGAGUCGGAUUGUUUGGGAAUGCAGUCCAAAAUGGGUGGUAAAUUUCAUCUAAAGCUGAAUAUUGGCGAGAGACCGAUAGCGAACAAGUACCGUGAGGGAAAGAUGAAAAGAACUUUGAAAAGAGAGUUAAACAGUACGUGAAAUUGUCAAAAGGGAAGCGUUUGACACCAGUGUUGUUUUUCUGAAAAUCAAUUAAAGAACUGUUUAUGCUAAGCUUGUUUAGACUUUAUCAGCUAUCUGUUUAGUUUUGAGCUUUUCUUUAAUGCACUUUUCAGUUAACAAGUCAACAUCAAUUUCUUUUGCUGUAAAAAAGCUUGAGGAAGGUGGCUUGAGAUUCGUCUUAAGUGUUUAUAGCCUCUUGCCUAUGCAGUCGGAGAGAUUGAGGUCUGCAGCGUAGAUCCUUCGGGGCUAAAUGCAUUUGUGCUAAGUUAUAGCAUUUUAUAGACAACUUGUUGACUAUGAUUUGUCUUGUAGCUUACUCGCUUAUGUUAUUUUACCUACGCUUAGGAUGUUGAGUAGCGACAUACGCAC
rnacentral:rRNA from 1 species